CAAGCACCUUCUGCCUGCUCCCAAGCUGGGAGACCAUAGAGGAGCCCUGCCGUGCUCAGAACUGGCCAGAGCUGCCAACUGAUCUGAGGCACUGAGUCUCUGAGACUGCUGCUGGCUCCCUAUCCUGAGGAGAUGGAGGACCCCCACUGAUCCAGUAGCACCUUGAGGCCUCCCAUCAAGAUCAGCUCCCCAUUGUGCUAAGUGCUCUACAUAUGCGUCGUAAGAGAGUGUCCCUAACCCUGAAGAGCUUACAGUCAAAGACCCCAAUCCUGAAAACACUUAAGCAGAUGCAGUGAGUUUAAUCACCCAGAUGUCCCCAUACCUGAGAG